rnacentral:rRNA from 1 species
CCUACGGGAGGCAGCAGUAGGGAAUAUUGGUCAAUGGACGGAAGUCUGAACCAGCCAUUCCGCGUGCAGGAAGAAGGUCCUAUGGACUGUAAACUGCUUUAGCAGAGAAGAAACGCCUUCAUUUAUGAGGGUCUGACGGUAUCUGCGGAAUAAGCACCGGCUAACUCCGUGCCAGCAGCCGCGGUAAUACGGGGGGUGCAAGCGUUAUCCGGAAUCACUGGGUUUAAAGGGUGCGUAGGCGGGACAUUAAGUCAGUGGUGAAAGUCUGUUGCUUAACGAUAGAAUUGCCGUGGAUACUGAUGUUCUUGAAUUGGGUUGAGGUUAACGGAAUGUGACAUGUAGCGGUGAAAUGCAUAGAUAUGUCAUGGAACACCAAUUGCGAAGGCAGCUAGCUGGGCCUUGAUUGACGCUGAGGCACGAAAGCGUGGGGAGCAAACAGGAUUAGAUACCCUGGUAGUCCACGCCCUAAACGAUGCUAACUCGAUGUUUGGUUUUAGGAUUGAGCCAUCUAAGGGAACCGAUAGUUAGCCACCUGGGGAGUACGACCGCAAGGUUGAAACUCAAAGGAAUUGACGG